UACGUAGGGACCAAGCGUGGUUCGGAUUUACUGGGCGUAAAGGGCGCGUAGGCGGCGCGGUAAGUCACUUGUGAAAUCUCUGAGCUUAACUCAGAACGGCCAAGUGAUACUGCAGUGCUAGAGUGUGGAAGGGGCAAUCGGAAUUCUUGGUGUAGCGGCGAAAUGCGUAGAUAUCAAGAGGAACACCUGAGGUGAAGACGGGUUGCUGGGCCAACACUGACGCUGAGGCGCGAAAGCCAGGGGAGCAAACGGG
rnacentral:rRNA from 1 species